rnacentral:rRNA from 1 species
AUGGGCUUCCCCCCGGCGGUGCCCAGGCUCCUGCCCAACCUCCUCUUCCUGCUUACCCACCUGCGCCGCCUCUCCUCCUGGCUGCUCGGCGCCGGCAUUGACCACCCAAACAACUCAGACUCAGACCACCACCACCACCACCACGGCACCACCAGCCUCAAGGAGCUGGAGGAGCACUGCCCGGCCGUGCGCUUCGACGAGCUCUCCGUAUCCAACGACGGCACCAGCCCCGGGAUGCCCAUCCUCCCAGAGGGAUGCGUGGUGUGCCUCAGCGACUUCCACGGCACCGCGUGUGUGCGCCGGCCGCGGCGGUGCCGGCACGUCUUUCACUUUGGCUGCCUCGACCGCUGGGCCGCUCACGGCCACAGAACCUGCCCGCUCUGCCGGGCUCCGUUCCUCCCGCCCUUCCUCCUGCCCAUGCCAGUCCCGACGUCGUGA